UUUCCGUAGGUGAACCUGCGGAAGGAUCAUUACCGAGUGAGGGCCCUCUGGGUCCAACCUCCCACCCGUGUUUAUCGUACCUUGUUGCUUCGGCGGGCCCGCCUCACGGCCGCCGGGGGGCACCCGCCCCCGGGCCCGCGCCCGCCGAAGACACCAUUGAACGCUGUCUGAAGAUAGCAGUCUGAGCAUCUUAGCUAAAUCAGUUAAAACUUUCAACAACGGAUCUCUUGGUUCCG
rnacentral:misc_RNA from 1 species